rnacentral:rRNA from 1 species
CACCGCGGUUAUACGAGAGGCUCAAGUUGAUAAACACCGGCGUAAAAUGUGGUUGACAUACCAUUAUACUAAAGCUAAACAUCUUCAAAGCUGUUAUACCCAUACGAAGACAGGAAAACCUUCUACGAAAGUGGCUUUAAAUGAAUGCUAACCCACGAAAACUAGGAAA